rnacentral:rRNA from 1 species
GCGGAGGAUCAUUAUUGAAUAAAUCUGGCGUGGUUGUAGCUGGCYCUCCGGGGCAAUGUGCACACCCGUCACCUUUAUCUUUCCACCUGUGCACACACUGUAGUCCUGGAUAACUCUCGCUGGAAGGCGGACUUUGGGUUUGUCGUCUGCCCUCAAGGGGGCUCGGCUCACUCUGAAUUUCCAGGUCUAUGAUCUCUCAUACACCCCAAAAGAAUGUAAUGGAAUGUCAUCACAAGGCCCUUGUGCCUAUAUAAAUUUAUACAACUUUCAGCAACGGAUCUCUUGGCUCUCGCAUCGAUGAAGAACGCAGCGAAAUGCGAUAAGUAAUGUGAAUUGCAGAAUUCAGUGAAUCAUCGAAUCUUUGAACGCACCUUGCGCUCCUUGGUAUUCCGAGGAGCAUGCCUGUUUGAGUGUCAUUAAAUUCUCAACCUCACCAAUUUUGUCAUGAAGUUGUGUGUAGGCUUGGAGGUGGGGGUUUUUGCAGGUCCACAAUAUGGUGGUCUGCUCCUCUGAAAUGUAUUAGCGGGUUAGGCCCCUAAUCUAUUGGUGUGAUAACUAUCUACUCCGUGGAUUGGGUUUUGGCUUAUCCAUAGACCUGCUCCAAACCGUCCUUCUCUGGACAACUCCUGACAUUU